CCCUUAGAUGUCCGGGGCUGCACGCGCGCUACACUGAAGGAAUCAGCGUGCUAAAACCAUUGUCGAAAGGCAUUGGUAAACCCAUUAAAAUCCUACGUGAUUGGGAUCGGGAAUUGCAAUUAUUUCCCUUGAACGAGGAAUUCCCAGUAAGUGUGGGUCAUAAGCUCGCGUUGAUUACGUCCCUGCCCUUUGUACACACCGCCCGUCGCUGCCCGGGACUGCGCCGUUUCGAGAAAAGCGGGGACUGCUGCUGUCGGGGCUUUCGGGCCUUGGCUUCGGUGGAAACCGCUUUAAUCGCAGUGGCUUGAACCGGGCAAAAGUCGUAACA
rnacentral:rRNA from 1 species